rnacentral:rRNA from 1 species
UACGUAGGCAGCGAGCGUUGUUCGGAGUUACUGGGCGUAAAGGGUGUGUAGGCGGUUGUUUAAGUUUGGUGUGAAAUCUCCCGGCUCAACUGGGAGGGUGCGCCGAAUACUGAAUGACUUGGAGUGCGGGAGAGGAGAGUGGAAUUCCUGGUGUAGCGGUGAAAUGCGUAGAUAUCAGGAGGAACACCGGUGGUGUAGACGGCUCUCUGGACCGUAACUGACGCUGAGACACGAAAGCAUGGGUAGCAAACAGG